rnacentral:rRNA from 1 species
GACGAACGCUGGCGGCGUGCCUAAUACAUGCAAGUCGAACGAGAGCGACCGGUGCUUGCACUGGUCAAUCUAGUGGCGAACGGGUGAGUAACACGUGGGUAACCUGCCCAUCAGAGGGGGAUAACAUUCGGAAACGGAUGCUAAAACCGCAUAGGUUCUUGAGUCGCAUGACUGAAGAAGGAAAAGAGGCUUCGGCUUCUGCUGAUGGAUGGACCCGCGGUGCAUUAGCUAGUUGGUGAGGUAACGGCUCACCAAGGCCGUGAUGCAUAGCCGACCUGAGAGGGUGAUCGGCCACAUUGGGACUGAGACACGGCCCAAACUCCUACGGGAGGCAGCAGUAGGGAAUCUUCCGCAAUGGACGCAAGUCUGACGGAGCAACGCCGCGUGAGUGAAGAAGGAUUUCGGUUCGUAAAACUCUGUUGUUAGAGAAGAACAGCGCAUAGAGUAACUGUUAUGCGUGUGACGGAUCUAACCAGAAAGCCACG